UGCUGCAUGGCUGUCGUCAGCUCGUGUCGUGAGAUGUUCGGUUAAGUCCGCUAACGAGCGCAACCCUCGCUGUGUGUUAUAUGUGUCACACGGGACUGCCGGUCUUAAGCCGGAGAAGUGGGGAUGAUGUCAAGUCAGCAUGGCCUUUAUAUCCUGGGCUACACACACGCUACAAUGGCCAACACAAUAGGUUGCUAAGCCGCGAGGUGGCGCCAAUCCAUAAAGUUGGUCUCAGUUCAGAUUGUAGGCUGCAACCCGCCUGCAUGAAGAUGGAGUUGCUAGUAACCGCAGGUCAGCUAUACUGCGGUGAAUACGUUCCCGGGGCUU
rnacentral:rRNA from 1 species